rnacentral:lncRNA from 1 species
GCGUGGGCGCGCCAGUGGCGGAACUUGGGCUUGAUUAAGGCGAUCCCUACGAGUGGAGGAGAAAUCAUUUAUGAUGGCGAGAACCCUGCUGGCCAUCUUAUAUGCCCCUAAGGACGGCAUAGAAGGAGCUGACUGCUGGAAGCCAUGUGGAAUUGCCACAGAAGCCAAGGAGUUGAAAGGCAUUCCAGGCUGCUGCAGCUACUCAAAGAAGUCAUCAAGGACCCGUGUUCCUCCUAGUGCCCCAGUUCUCCAUCCUUAGGAUGUUUCUUCCAUCUUCAUGGUGACAAGAUGGCUUCUCCACCAUCAAGCACUGUGUCCAUGAGUCAGGCAGAAAGAAGAGGGGCAAGGCAAUGGGCUUGUUCCCAGAAGCCCCACCAAGCCACUGUCUAUAGGAUUGAGAAUCAGCCAGAACUAUAUUAUAUGGUACCGUGAAUGAAAAAUGUUGCCUGCCAUAUCAGUAAAUAAAGGAUGUUGCAGCCACUGAGGUAUGACAGCCACCUCUACUGGCACACUCUGAGGGAACUCAGGAUUGGAAAGAGCAGGAAACUGGCCCUAGACAGCUAAGGUGCGUAUCAAAGGCAUGAUUUCAAUGAGCCCAGACUCUUGCAUCGUCCCACACAUAGAAAAGUGCUAAAGUCAUAAUUUUCUUUGAUUAACAGUAAUCUUUUGAAGUUCCAACUAUACCUGGUCUUUGUUGCAGAAACUCCUAUAUAUUCUGGCUCCUCCUUUACCUCUUCAGAACAAUCCCUCAGAGCAACCUGAGAGGCGGCAUUCUGGACUUAUGUCUUCAGUUUUGUCUAUCAAAUAAAAUAUAAUUCU